GGCUUGGUAGACAUGAAUUGGUCCCAAAACAUUCGUCUGGUAGUGAGAGUUCCAAACCUCAUCAGGAGUUUCUAAUACAGAGGAAUAAGAGUGAUAGAUUGCUGAAUUUAGCCAGAGAACGUCGACUUUACCCACGAUUUUUUCAACCUGCUUGGCGGCAUCCUUUUCACUCUCUAGAGAAGUGACAUCCAACUUAAUAAUAUGCACAUUGGAAUGAGACUUGCUCAACUCUUGUAAUUCAGUAGCAGCUUCGGGUUUGCGAGCACUCGCAAACACAGUCGUUCCUUCUCUAUUGCUUAACUCUUUAACAAGAGAGAGUCCAAUACCACGAUUCCCGCCUGCGAUAAAGAAAAUCUUGUCAGCCGAAGACAUAUUCUAUUUUUUGAAGUACUCAGAAAAUUCCAAAAUUCACGAAAAGACUGAACCCUUAAAGGCUGUUCAGCUAUUAACACAUUUGAUGUUGUUACGUCACUUCAGUCGCAUAUUUAUUGCCUUAAAAGGUCGUCAAAAAGUAGUGAAUGUAUGGAAACAUUGUCGUUAACCGUAAGCUACAUUAAAGCAUUGCAGUUCAUGCCUUCAUAGCUAUUCAAUUAUUUACCAGACGUCGCUGUAAUUUUGGCUGAUAACAUUGCCACUGUGGUUAAAAAAUGGAAGAAUUCGUUUUCCAGCUUUGGUGGUGGUAGGAGUAAUUAUCUACGAUUUAUAAAAGGUAGCUUCGAGUUUGAGGUUGAACAAAGUUUUUCUUUAUAUAUUAUUAAAAUGCAGGCUACUCGUAAACAACUAGUCUCAAAAGACAAAACGAGUGGUUUUACUAGCUUUCCAAAACUGUAAUAGUACAUGACUGAUUGAAGGGUACAACAAUUUUUUCUUUUGAUCUAUGGUCAUUUGUUCGUGUAUAUAGAAUUGUAGAAGUUGAUCAUUUUUUUCCAAAUCCUUUAUUCUGGCAUCGUUGCAUAAGUACAAAAAAGAAUAUGUCUAAAAAGGAAUGAUGGUACCAUCAUAGUUGUAAAAAAGUCCAUUAUUUUCGGGCUUCAAAUUGUCUACAACUUUCAACAUAUCUGAAGCGCUUUUCUCGGGUGUUAAGGCCUGCUUUGCAAAGAGAUCCAAAAUUUCCGGUUUCUUUUCAGCAUGCUGAUUUACAAUUUCUUGAGCUGAAUCGGUUCGGACAGCUCCGGGGUGAAUUGAAAUCACUAUGAAUCCUUCAUCUUGUAGCUCAAAACUAAUUUCCUUCAUCGUAUAAUUUAAGGCAGCCUUAGAUUGGCCAUAAGCAGAUUGACUUGAAGGGAAGAAAGCUCCCAUGGAUCCAGCUAAUGAUGAAGUAAAAACAAUGAUUUUAGAUCUUCCUUUUUUUAUAAGAGGAUAAAAGGCUUGGUAGACAUGAAUUGGUCCUAAAACAUUGGUUUUAUAGUGAGAGUUCCAGACAUCAUCAGGAGUAUUUACGACAGGACCAAAAGAAUGGAAAACGGCUGAAUUUACCCAGAGAACAUCCACUGCAUCAACUACUUUUGUAACUUCUUGAGCGGCUUCAUUGGCACUCUCUAGAGAGGAGACAUCUAACUUAAUAAUGUGCACAUUGGAAUGAGACUUGCUCCAUUCUUGUAAUUUAGUAGCAGCUCCAGGCUUGCGGGCACUUGCAAAUACAACUGUUCCUUUUCUGUUGCUCAAUUCCUUAACAAGAGAGAGUCCAAUGCCUCGAUUUCCUCCUGCAAUAAAGUAAAUUUUGUUGGUAGUAGACAUAUUCUAACACAAUGUUUGAAUGAUCCUUGAAUCCGUUUGAAAAGUGGAUAAUUUGGUGUCGGCAAUUUAUCAUCAACUUCAUGCUUAUAUACCAAUUCUUCAAAUCAUUAUGCUUACGUGAUUUGAACCGUGAAUUUUGAUGCUUACAUAAUUGAAUAUACUCAGCGACAAGUUCAUAAAAAUUCAUCGUAUAGAACUUAUUGUACUUUGUAUUAGAAGACAAUAUAAAUACAUUUACAACCUA